rnacentral:rRNA from 1 species
UGCGUAGGCGGUCUUUCAAGUCAGGAGUGAAAGGCUACGGCUCAACCGUAGUAAGCUCUUGAAACUGUAAGACUUGAGUGCAGGAGAGGAGAGUGGAAUUCCUAGUGUAGCGGUGAAAUGCGUAGAUAUUAGGAGGAACACCAGUUGCGAAGGCGGCUCUCUGGACUGUAACUGACGCUGAGGCACGAAAGCGUGGGGGAGCAAACA